rnacentral:rRNA from 1 species
AUUGAACGCUGGCGGCAUGCUUUACACAUGCAAGUCGAACGGUAACAGGCCUUCGGGUGCUGACGAGUGGCGAACUGGUGAGUAAUGCAUCGGAACGUACCCAGAGGUGGGGGAUAACGCAGCGAAAGCUGUGCUAAUACCGCAUGUGAUCUGAGGAUGAAAGCGGGGGACCGAGCAGCAAUGUUUGGCCUCGCGCCUUUGGAGCGGCCGAUGUCGGAUUAGCUAGUUGGUGGGGUAAAGGCCUACCAAGGCGACGAUCCGUAGCUGGUCUGAGAGGACGACCAGCCACACUGGGACUGAGACACGGCCCAGACUCCUACGGGAGGCAGCAGUGGGGAAUUUUGGACAAUGGGCGCAAGCCUGAUCCAGCAAUGCCGCGUGCGGGAAGAAGGCCUUCGGGUUGUAAACCGCUUUUGGCAGGAACGAAACGGUGUCCGCUAAUACCGGGCGCUAAUGACGGUACCUGCAGAAUAAGCACCGGCUAACUACGUG